UUUAGAAAGAAAUACAAAGGUAACAGGCCUUUGCCAUUUGUUGAAUGUAAAUUCAGAGCGUUACACACAAAUGCGAGUUUGUUAGUUGCAAAGGCAGUCACGGUCUCUGACUUCAGUGCUGGUUGUGAGAGUGAGGUGAGCUGGGGAGGGGGCAUGAUAUCACCAGCCCGGAUUUCAACAGUGCAAUGCCAAUUGGGGAAGGCUUGGGAGAUCAGCUGGUCCACCCCACUGACUCCCAGAUGAGGAAACUGAGGUCCAGACGAGGGGAAGUGAGUGGCCAAAGGUGACACUGUGAGUCAGAGGCAGAUGCGGGACUUGAACCCAGGUCCCCUGACUCCUAACCCAGACUUUCUGAGAAAUGAGUGUCUUGCCACGUGCUUCCCCUUUGCCCUUUCCUCCUGGACAGUGUCAGCUGUCCUUGGGGCCAGGAAGGAGACAUGGAGGCCAGGGGUUUCUGGUGGACCCCACCACAGGGCUUCUCAUCUGAGGCACCGCUGGGAUGUUAAGCCGGAUGGUGCUUUGAGGUAGAGGCUGCCCUGUGCUAGGCCUUCAGGCCAUUUUUCAGACAGGAUCGGGACUUGGAGACCAGGGCCCAGGGAUGCCGCUUGAGGUGACAGAACUGGAAAAGAUGAAGGGAAGAAAGGAAUGUAACCCACAUUGAAUAAUGAAGCCUGACGCUUUAACCCUACAAUGGCCAUUGCUGGAUGUUGACGUAAACAAUAGGUGUCUACAGGAUGAAUUAGCCAAACGACAACUCCGGUGUGAGCAGAACGGGCUCAUUGGGUCAAGACACAAUUCCACCACAGAACGGGUUUCACAAAGGACCAUGUCCCAUCAACUCAGCAAUGAAACCAUCGUGGUCUGGAAACCUGAGAUCAGGACCCACAGAAUGACUGGCGGAAUGACAGACCAAAUGUGGAAGAUGUUCCAACCAGGAAUGAAUCACUUACUUCCAACGUUUCCUAAAGAGGCAAUGGGCUCCUGGGCCCUUUCUCACUCGGGAGGGCCUUUCCUCUGCCCCAUCAUUCUGAGGGUUUCUGGAAGAUGGAGUCCCGCUCUGUUGCCCAUGCUGGAGUGCAGUGUCGCGAU
rnacentral:lncRNA from 1 species